UAGAAAAGAAAGAGUUGAAUGGAUGGUGAGAGGUUAUUUACCUUGGUUUUACUCCCCAUAUCCAAAUUACAAGCCUCUGGGGACAUACUCAGACAUUGUUGGAUUAGUCUGUGGAAUCUUCCAAUGGGUUUUUGCAACUACAGCUUAUGCCUUUCUGUCCCAUCACUCUGAUAACCCUGUCAAAUUCUCAGCUUGGCCUCUAAUAUUUGCCUUUGGUGCAUUGUUUUCAAGAUUUCCAAGGAAUCCACACACAAGAGUCGUAGUCCAUGAACGCUUAGAAAUUCAUCAAUGCAGCCCUGAGUCCCCAUCCCCAUCUCCAUCCCCAUUAAAUGGUCUACGUGCCCUCCAGCUCCUGGAACUGGAACAUUUACCUAUACCAUCUCAUGUAGGAGUUCUGAAUCUUCGUGAGUAUAUCUAUUGUGACUUGGCUACAACAGAACAGAAGAAAGGGGGAAGAAAUAGAAGAAAGAAGAGAAGGAAAAGAAACAAGUAUAACAGAGAAGAGAAAGAUCAAGAGAUGUAUUAUGAAAAUGUAUUAUUAAUGUAUGAUGACUUCAGAUUGAAUUAAUUUCAGAAUUUUUAGGGUUACUAUGUUGUAAAUUAUAAUUUUCAG
rnacentral:misc_RNA from 1 species